GAAAAAUAAUUCACUUCUGUGAAGAUCUCAAAGGCUUGGAAAAGGAAUCACAGAGGGAGCCAGGAAGAGUGGAUUCUGGAUGUGCUGAGCUGGAUCUGGAG